rnacentral:rRNA from 1 species
GUGAACGCUGGCGGUAGGCCUAACACAUGCAAGUCGCACGGCAGCACAGUAAGAGCUUGCUCUUACGGGUGGCGAGUGGCGGACGGGUGAGGAAUACAUCGGAAUCUACUUUUUCGUGGGGGAUAACGUAGGGAAACUUACGCUAAUACCGCAUACGACCUACGGGUGAAAGCAGGGGAUCUUCGGACCUUGCGCGAUUGAAUGAGCCGAUGUCGGAUUAGCUAGUUGGCGGGGUAAAGGCCCACCAAGGCGACGAUCCGUAGCUGGUCUGAGAGGAUGAUCAGCCACACUGGAACUGAGACACGGUCCAGACUCCUACGGGAGGCAGCAGUGGGGAAUAUUGGACAAUGGGCGCAAGCCUGAUCCAGCCAUACCGCGUGGGUGAAGAACGCCUUCGGGUUGUAAAGCCCUUUUGUUGGGAAAGAAAAGCAGCAGGUUAAUACCCCGCUGUUCUGACGGUACCCAAAGAAUAAGCACCGGCUAACUUCGUG